rnacentral:piRNA from 1 species
GAAGUGAAAUGAGUGAGAAUUCUGGGA